GACGAACGCUGGCGGCGUGCUUAACACAUGCAAGUCGAACGGAAAGGCCCUGCUUGCAGAGUACUCGAGUGGCGAACGGGUGAGUAACACGUGGGUGAUCUGCCCUGCACUUCGGGAUAAGCUUGGGAAACUGGGUCUAAUACCGGAUAGGACCGCACUUUAGUGUGUGUGGUGGAAAGUUUUUUCGGUGUAGGAUGAGCUCGCGGCCUAUCAGCUUGUUGGUGGGGUAAUGGCCUACCAAGGCGGCGACGGGUAGCCGGCCUGAGAGGGUGUACGGCCACAUUGGGACUGAGAUACGGCCCAGACUCCUACGGGAGGCAGCAGUGGGGAAUAUUGCACAAUGGGCGCAAGCCUGAUGCAGCGACGCCGCGUGGGGGAUGAAGGCCUUCGGGUUGUAAACUCCUUUCGCUAGGGACGAAGCUUUUUGUGACGGUACCUAGAGAAGAAGCACCGGCUAACUACGUG
rnacentral:rRNA from 1 species